GGCCUACACAGGGUCAGGAUCAUCAAUGUCACUGUCUUCUACCCCCACAUCUUGUCCCACUGGAAGGUCUGAGGGGCAAUAAUAUGCAUUGUGCUGUCAUCCCCUGUCAUAGCAAUGCUUUCUUCUGGAAUACCUCCUGAAGGACCUGCCUGAAGCUCUUCUCCAGGAGGUGCCACUCUUUUCAGAAAUGUGUCCAUGCUACGUGUUCCUGUUCCAGUUCCAACCACUCCUCAUCAGUCAGUUCCUCAGGAACCACCUCUAGGAGCUCCUCAAUGUCAUCCUCAUCCACACCCAGGGUGGGUCUCAACCAAGAACCUAGAAGAGUAGAGGGACUUCCUCCCCCAGGAUCAGCCAAUUCCUAGAGAUAGGAAAACACUGGCCAGCAAGUGCAACUCUCCUAUACAAAGUAAUCAAUCAAGAGCUCACACUCCAGCCAUCUCUUUUUUUGGUUCUUGCACUGUGGGCCACUAUUCCCCUGCCUUAAUCACACCAGAGCCAGGAACCAAACAACUAAGGACAGCCCCUCUACCCCAGAGCCCACUGAAAUUAUUCAAACCGGCCAAUUCUAAACCUGCUUUCCCUGUCUUGCCCAUUACUUCCUGUGGAAACCACAAUAAAG
rnacentral:lncRNA from 1 species